ACGAACGCUGGCGGCGUGCCUAACACAUGCAAGUCGAGCGCGAACGUCCUUCGGGGCAAGUAGAGCGGCGCACGGGUGAGUAACACGUGGGUAAUCUGCCCAGAAGCCUGGAAUAACCAAGGGAAACUUUGGCUAAUACCGGAUACGCCCGGUGUACGAGAGUACAUCGGUGAAAGCGGGGGCCCUCUUCGGAGGCCUCGCACUUUUGGAUGAGCCCGCGGCCCAUCAGCUAGUUGGGGGGGUAAUGGCCCACCAAGGCUAAGACGGGUAGCUGGUCUGAGAGGAUGAUCAGCCACACUGGAACUGAGACACGGUCCAGACUCCUACGGGAGGCAGCAGUGGGGAAUCUUGCGCAAUGGACGAAAGUCUGACGCAGCAACGCCGCGUGAGUGAUGAAGGUCCUCGGAUCGUAAAGCUCUGUCGGCAGGAACAAUGGCUUAUGAAUCUAAUAAAUUCUUAGGUUGAUGGUACCUGCAAAGGAAGCACCGGCUAACUCUGUGCCAGCAGCCGCGGUAAUACAGAGGGUGCAAGCGUUGUUCGGAAUUAUUGGGCGUAAAGGGCGCGUAGGCGGCCUAUUAAGUCGGAUGUGAAAGCCCAGGGCUCAACCUUGGAAGUGCAUACGAAACUGGUAGGCUAGAGUGCUGCAGAGGAUGGUGGAAUUCCCAGUGUAGAGGUGA
rnacentral:rRNA from 1 species